AAGUCGUAACAAAGUUUCCGUAGGUGAACCUGCGGAAGGAUCAUUAACACGUAUCCACGUUAAAACCCCCCCCGUGAACCUUCAUCCUGCUCUUGUAACCCGCGUAGUUCGCAAUCUCUGAUAAAUCAUAGCCCGGAAAGUUGUAGUGAUUCAGAGACCUCUGGCUACGUGCGAACAUUGGAAAUGUUUCCCCAAGCAGUCAGUGUCGGAAAGUGUCAUUGAUUGUGCAAGGAUAGCGCUUCUACGAUUCCUGUAGACCGUACACUCGGGCAGGAGCUUUGCCAAAGGGUCCCCAUGCCCCCUAAUAACCCCACAGUUUAAUGUGAAGCUUAAUGUAGGUUCUC
rnacentral:misc_RNA from 1 species